rnacentral:rRNA from 1 species
UACGAAGGGGGCUAGCGUUGUUCGGAAUUACUGGGCGUAAAGCGAACGUAGGCGGUGUUCCAUGUCAGAGGUGAAAGCCUGGGGCUCAACUCCAGAAUUGCCUUUGAAACGGGAACGCUUGAGUCCGAGAGAGGAUGGCGGAAUUCCUAGUGUAGAGGUGAAAUUCGUAGAUAUUAGGAAGAACACCAGUGGCGAAGGCGGCCAUCUGGCUCGGUACUGACGCUCAGGUUCGAAAGCGUGGGGAGCAAACAGG